AGGGGGCUAGCGUUGCUCGGAAUCACUGGGCGUAAAGGGUGCGUAGGCGGGUCUUUAAGUCAGGGGGGAAAUCCUGGAGCUCAACUCCAGAACUGCCUUUGAUACUGAGGAUCUUGAGUUCGGGAGAGGUGAGUGGAACUGCGAGUGUAGAGGUGAAAUUCGUAGAUAUUCGCAAGAACACCAGUGGCGAAGGCGGCUCACUGGCCCGAUACUGACGCUGAGGCACGAAAGCGUGGGGAGCAAACAGG
rnacentral:rRNA from 1 species